AAUCCACUCUGCGGUUACCACUGUAACCUCCGCCCGGGGAGGAUCCGACAGUACCCGUUGCGAGUUUGAAACGCGUGAUCGGCGAAUGGAAACGCGAUCGCGAACGUUGUUGUAGACGACCCGUCUCCGGUUGAUCCGGUAGCUACGAUCUUUUCGUACGGCGUGACGAUUACGUUUGCGGCGGUUGGCAGCACGGAUAUUACCGACAUUACGUCUCGCGUGUUCAUGCGCGGUUGGCAGUAAUUUUAAUUUACCGGAAUCUCGUUUCGCUAUCAUACCGUGGCUUAUCUACGGUCAUAAAUCCUCGCUCCGUAAUUCUCGUAAUGUUUAUUUGUUUUUUUUUUUUUUCUUUCCGAAAACCAUUUCGUUUUAAUAUUAUAACCGGUAACGGUACGGACAACACGCGCGUGUAACGUCGCGGACGCGGUUUCUCCCGUCAGCGUCCUGGAUCGACCGGACCCUCGGUUCGACAGUCAAUGCCUACCGACCGGAUCCAACUCGGCGGUGUACCGAUACGCGCGGUUCUCGGUGCGUGCGCCUGGGAACAUUUGAACAAAGUACGUUCGUUUUGUUGUCGUGAUCGGUGUUCGGGGACCAACGGGCCGCGGCACCCGUCGGCCGAUAAACCGGCGCGUUGGAUAAAUCGCGUUCGGAGCCUAUUUAAUAACGGAAAUAAUCGCUCGGAAAACUAUCAGAUAGAAAAAAAAAAAAACAAACAAACAAAACGCUUUCAUCCUAUUUCACUCGUAACAUAACGCAUACAUUUCCACGGCACUCUACCGGAUUCGUUGUGAAAUCCAAACAAAGCGCUACGAGACCCGAACCCGAGCCGUGAUCAAAACACAAACGCGUAUAAUCGUUAGGUUCAGAUUUCAAUUUUAACGAACAUCGUUUAUCGAUAUUAUCUGACACCCGUUUGAUAGGAUUGAACAUUGGGGUGAAUCGAAAAGAGUUUUUCUCACUCCAAAUCAUUUUUCUUCUGCAAUACGAUUACGAGUUUGGUUUUCGAUCGGGAUGUUUUGUGUCAAUUAAUAUUAUACCGUUGUGGGAUACCUAUAUUUAAGAAGCGUUUUUAUAAUUACUCAUUCAAAUGUUAAUCACAUUAAUUUAUAAUUGUGUUCACAGUUUUUAACAACAAAAAAUUAAGAAAUAUACGUUAUGAAAAUGAAAAAAAAAAAAAUUGAAUGUUCUUCGACAAAUAAAAAAGUAAGUAAAUACACUAAUGUAAGUAAGUGGGUAACUAUAAAAUAUUAAUAUCCAUGCAUAUGACCCAGUAUAAGUAUAAAUAUUUUAAAAUUUGUAAUGAUAAUAUUUAAUUAGUUUUUUUUUUAACUCUGGAUCUCGUUUCGUUGAUUUUGUUCGUGCCCAUAUUUCACAUGUGUACAGUAAGUAGUAAGUAGUAUAAGUCUUAUGAGUACUUCGUAGUAUAGACUUAUUUUCGUCUUUUGUAACAGUAAUUCAAUUUUGACUUAAAUAACGAUUAGAAUUGGGAUUUUUGUUUUUUAAUAAUUCUCCUAUUGAAUAGAAAUUUAUUUCAAAACGUUAUUGUUACAAAUAUUCAACUUUAAUUUUGUAAGUUUUCCGGUUUUUUUUUUUUGUUUAUAAGUCCAUAGUUUGGCUUUUUUCUGUUUUUAAUCAUAUUUUUUACGAUAAAAACUUAAUAAUAAUAGAUAUUUAUAAAUAAAUUAGAUUCUAUAUUUAUUUGAAAUUUUACUUUUGUUAUUUUUAUAUCUAUAUUUUGACCAUUUUUCGUGUAAAUUUAGCUAUUUUUUAGUGCACCAUUCCAACCGUAAUAAUGACACAAGUUCAGCUGUUUUUCCCUGGUAAAACUCCUGAUGGCUAUAUGCUUGUUGGUUAAUGUUUACUCCUAGGUAUUUUAGUAUUAUUCAAUAAUAACAGAUUAUAUAAAACACUUUUGUUGUAAAAAAAUUGACAUAAAGCGUAUAUAAGUUUUAUUUACGAAACUACUAAGUUUCAGCUUGUGCUAAUAAAUUUCCUAUUCUUUUAAGUACUGGACUAAUCAAAUUAUUUUGGUCAACUGACAUUAAAAACUUUUUAUUACAAAAUAUUAUUAUUUAUUAUAUUGUCUAAAAAGGCAUAUUUUUAAUUGUUAUUCUAGAUUUAAUGAGCAAAUUCCAUACAAGAAAAUAUACGAAACAACUACUGAUAACAUCGUAUCUACAGGAAGAAAAUACAAUAAUACAAAUGGAGUGAGUAAUUAAAACAUUACCUUGCUAAUUUUAUCAAUUUUAAUUUUUAGUUUGUACAAUUUAUUUAUCUGUGCAUUGCCAUCAAUGUUGAAUGGUUACAAUUAAUUUGAAACAUUUCCAAAAAAUAAUAAUUGUUUUGAUUAUUAUUCUAGACCUAACGAGGGAACAAAACUAUAAGAGAAAUUACUAAUGACACCACGUCUUAUGAGAUUUAUGAACUAUAUCAAGUACAACAAAUUGAGUAAGUUAUUUGGACAUCACUUUGCACUUGUGAACAUACUACUAAUUAAUUAUAAAGUGUCUGUUCAAUAUCUUUUUAAUACGGGUAAUUUACAAAUAUAUGCAGGAUAGUGUAUUAGGAAUAGAGGUGAAAAACGUAUCUUGUCAACUAUAACUGUAAUUUUUUUAGAUUAGAAUAUGAAGGCAGUAAAUUUAUAUUAACACCUUGCAAAACAAAUGCCAAUGUGGUAAAAAUAGAUUUAAUAAUAAUAAUGAACAUUAAUACAUUUUAGUAUUAUUUUAUUUCUACUUUUUAAAAAAAAUGUAUUAUUUACUACAUAUAAUUGUACAAUUAUUAAAUAUUUUUAUUAUUACUAUUAUUAUUCGAAUAGUUUAAAAAAAAAAAAAAAAUGGUGCAUUGGGAAGGUCAUUUUUUGAUUUUCCAAGAGGCUUUCAAAAUAAUUGCAGAAAUACAGUCAAAUAUUUACAGCAUAUGACGUUAUCAAUUUUACUAUUUUUAUUUUUUACGAAUUAUGUUUUCCACCAGAAAUCUUGCUUCAAUAAAAAAAAUAACGAGACCUUUUUUGUUAAAUUUUUAAUCUUGUUAAUGAGUAAGUUAUUUUUUAAUUUUCCAUGUAGUUUUUUUUAAUAAUUGAGCAGAAUCUAGAUAAAAUGUAGAAAAAAGGAACUAAUGUUUUUAUUAUCGUUAGAAUAAGAGUUUAGAGUUUAAAUUUUGAUAAAAAUCUUAAAAUAACUGCAUUUCAAAACACGUGUAACUUUGCUCAGAAUCGCUUUUUAUUAUUGCUCACAGAUAUAAAUUGAAUACCUUCAUAUUGUAUCCUGCCAUUCCAACUUCCCACCUGCAACAGUGUUAUACCCCUACCAGUAUCAGCUCUUUUUGUAAUCUAACAAUAAUAUUAUUACAAUUUACAGGUAUAAAAUAAUAUAGACAUUUUUUUGUAGUUAUCACUUGAAAGUUUAAUCGAAAAAUAAUGUGGCGAUAAAUAAAAGCUUAAUCAGUUUGCUUAAAUUAUUUCGUAUGAAAUGGUAUAAUAAUUAUAGACUUAGAUCAUUUGAUAUUUUGCUUAUAACUCUUAAAAUAUUACUUAUAGAAUUUUUAUCAUUAUGACGAAAAAUAUACAGCACACAAUUUUGAUUAAUAAAGAAUCAAAACUUCACAUAAACUGUGAUAACCUGGAUUUUUAUGCCUCUCUGAUACAGAAUUAUAUUCUUAAAAUUACCAGCACAUGGCUCUAUCCAUAUUUUAAUAUGAUCUAAUUAGUUACCAUUAAUCAUUAUAUAAUUCGCCAAUAACAUUUAUAAGUAUACGAUUAUCAUAUGUUUGAGUGUCGAAUGGCCAAUGAUAAUAAUUUAUAUUAUAAACUAUUAGAAGGUAUACAUAGUUUACCAGUAAAUUUUCAACAAAAUUGAGAACGUAAGGUGUAUAACUUUGUAGUAUUUCCUAUGGGAACACUGAGUAUUUUUAACUAAAUCGCAUAUAUUGUAUUAAUUGUUAUUAUUAUUAUUUUAAUAUUUUUCAGAUGCACAUCAGAAGAAAUAACAAAAAAAAAAAAAGAAAUUGAUGUAACUGAUAGUUUUGUGUAUGCAAUUGAAAUUAUAAUAUUAAAUGAUCCAGUGGAAUUAAGUUUAAAGAAAAACCAAAAUGUAUGGAAAAAGUUAUGCUGUUGAAUGUGAUCAUUGUAAAAUUUCAUUUGUAGUAAAACAAAUUGACAGUACACGUGAGGUCACAUAAAAAUGAAAACCAUAUAAGUGUGAUAUUUGUAAGACGUUAGUUAGAUUUAAACAAAAUUUGACAGCACACAUGAGAACUCGUAUUGAUCAAAAACCUUAUAAUUGCAAUAUUUGUUAAAUAUCAUUUGGACAAAAUCCACAUUUGACAGUACUCAUAAGAAAUCACACAAGUCAUAAGUAAUAAGGAAAUUCAUACAAUAAGUCUUCAAACGUGAUGUGUGUUAAUAAUUACUAAGUACAAAAUCAAUAUUGGGUAAACAUAUUAUGUUGGUUCGCAAGAGGGAGGUCAGUCGUGAUGUUGAAUGAAAAAACAUUUUCUCAAUCUUAAAAUUUCCAAAAACAUAUGAAGGUUAAUAUUGAUAUUAAAAAUAUGGAUGAAGUAAAAGUUGAUUAAAAUGUAUGUUAUU